ensembl:snoRNA
GCAUGGGUUUGGAUUUAUGGUGGGCCUGUUCCCCUGGGCCUCUCAUAGUGCCCAGGUCAAAGGAAACUGUGGCCUUCAACUGUUGCCUGGCCUCACGUCCAUAGGCUGCUGGCACUGAAGUGGGUUGCACAGAG